ACUAAAGAGGAGGGAGUAGAGGGAGGAAGACAUAGGGGGCAAGCAGGUAAGGGAAUGACGUGGUGGAAAGCGUGGGCAGGGGUGUGUGAAAGACCGAGGUGAAAUCCCCGGGUUUAACCUGGGAACUGCAUUGGUGACUGCAGCGCUAGAGUAUGGCAGAGGGGGGUAGAAUGCCACGGGUAGCAGUGAAAUGCGUAGAGAUGUGGAGGAAUACCGAUGGCGAAGGCAGCCCCCUGGGCCAAUACUGACGCUCAUGCACGAAAGCGUGGGGAGCAAACAGGAUUAGAUACCCCUGUAGUC
rnacentral:rRNA from 1 species